rnacentral:lncRNA from 1 species
GUGGCUAAAAGGCUGCAGUACUGCACCCUCCAGGAGACCGGCUUUUUAAGGAGGAACUCCCCCAAGCCUCUUUCCCACCGUGAAGCUGCCCCUGCACACCUGGGAUGGGUAAGGGCAGGCUCACCGCUCCCCCCCGGCAGUACACAACGCCCUUUGCUGUGACUGUGGUUUGAAAAGAGAGGGCAAACGCGUCGUGCCCAACUCUCUGCUGGGGAAGAUUGGGGAAGUAGGCGGAGCGGCCUUAAAAGUCUUGCCUGCACCUGGUUGGUUUACAUUUGCGUCAAUUUCAGCCCUGUAGAAUUUGGGGGGCUCAGGACAAAGGAAUCGGGAGCUGGAGGCCCUCGGACCAUCUUAAACCUGCUCCCUCCCGUGGCACAGCUUGGAGCGAGAGAGGGGCUGCUGGGUGGUCCUGAAGAAUUAGCAGCGGGGGACAACACACACACACACACACAUCUUCCUAGGAGACCCGGGCGCUAGAGAUUAGUUAUGAGCCAUCUCCCUGCACCUAUAUCUGCCUAGCUUGGUAUCCCAGACUGUGACGCUCCGAAGGAACCCAUGGCUGUCCAUUGUCCCCACUUAAUUUUGUCCUCCACCUUGGGGAGCUGGGAGUGAAGCUGGGAGUCGGAAGAUCUGGGUUCUAUUCCUUGCUGAGCUGCCGUGUGACCUUGGGUGAGUCCCUUCAGUUCCCUGGCCCUCUUUCUCCUCCCACCUG